UUGAAAGGGAAACGAUUGAAGUCAGUCGUGCUGGCAUGAAAUCAACUACCGCACGCUUGAAAGUGUUGGCGGGUGAGCCUAAAAACCAUCGCAUCGACAUUUUCGGGCGUGCAGUGGUGCACUUUUGUGUCGGCUGGUUAGCAUCAAUUUCGACUGUCAUAAAAAGGCUGGAGGGAUGUGGCUCCUUCGGGAGUGUUAUAACCUUUAGCGGAAUGUGGUGGUUGAGAUUGAGGUUUGCAGCGGAUAUUUCUUCUACCUGGCCUCUUGUUGGUGUCUUGGUAGCGACAGCGUGCUGACGUUAUUAGGAUCAGCCGGCGAAAAGGUUAGAGUGGAAGAUUCGUUAAGGAUGUUGACGUA
rnacentral:rRNA from 1 species